GAUGAACGCUAGCGGCAGGCUUAACACAUGCAAGUCGAGGGGCAUCACGGGUAGCAAUACCUGGUGGCGACCGGCGGAAGGGUGCGUAACGCGUGAGCAACAUGCCCUAUACAGGGGGAUAAUCCAGGGAAACUUGGUCUAAUACCCCAUUGGAUUUAUUGGUGGCAUCAUUGAUAAAUUAAAGCUUCGGUGGUAUAGGAUUGGCUCGCGUGACAUUAGUUUGAUGGUGAGGUAACGGCUCACCAUGGCGAUGAUGUCUAGGGGUUCUGAGAGGAACGGCCCCCCACACUGGGACUGAGACACGGCCCAGACUCCUACGGGAGGCAGCAGUGAGGGAUAUUGGACAAUGGAUGGAAAUCUGAUCCAGCCAUGCCGCGUGCAGGAA
rnacentral:rRNA from 1 species